GAGCCGAGAUCAUACCACUGCACUCCAGCCUGGGUGAUAGAGUGACAGUCUCAAAAAAAAAAAAAAAUUAGCCAGGUAUAGUGACACACGCCUGUCAUCUUAGUUAUUUGGGAGGCUGAGGUGGGAGGAUCACCUGAGUGCCAGAGUUCAAGGCUUCACUGGGCUAUGAUUGUACCACUGCACUCCAGCCUGGAUGACAGAGUGAGACUGUGUCUCUAAAGAAACAAACCAAAAAGGCAAGUGUAAAUUUCAAUUAAUUAAAAUUAAUUUAUAAAAUUCAAUUUCUCUGCUGUGCUGGCCACAUUUGAAAUAUUCAACAGUUACCUGUGGCUGGUGGCUACCAAAUUGGACAGCAUAGAUGUGGAACAUUUCAUCAUCACAGAGAGUUUUAUUGGUUCUAGUCCAGACUUUCCUGGGGUCUGUAACACACGCCUCUCACUGUAAUCCCUCCCUGGAUUGGGACUGCCUGUUUCUAUGUUUGUCUCAUUGAUUCAUUCAUUCCAGAAAUAUUUAUUGAGGACUUCCUUUAUGCCAGGGACUGUGACAGAUACUGAAGAUACAACAAAUUAGACAAAUGUCCUGGCCCACAGGAAGGCCAAGCAGGCCAUAAACAACAUAAAUUCAUAAAAUAUAACACGGGUCAGAUGGAGGUAAGGGGGAGGAGAGAGGGAGAAUGUAAUUUAAAAUACAGGCUGGUGCCAGGCGCGGUGGCUCACACCUUUAAUCCCAACAUUUUGGGAGUUCAAGGUGGGUGGAUCAUUUGAGGUCAGGAGUUUGAGACCAGCCUGACCAACAUGGUGAAACCCAUCUCUACUAAAAAUACAAAAAAAUUAGCUAGGCGUGGUGGCGCAUGCCUGUAGUCCCAGGGAGGCUGAGGCAGGAGAAUCGCUUGACCCUGAAGGCAGAGGUUGUAGUUAGCCAAGAUCGUGCCACUGCACUCCAGCCUGGGUGAUAGAGCAAGACUCUGUCUAAAAAAAUAAAAUAAAAUAAAAUAAAAUAAAAG
rnacentral:lncRNA from 1 species